GCCUGAGUAGCUCAGUGGUUAGAGCACUCGUUUCAUAAGCGAGAUGUCGAGAGUUCGACUCUCUCCUCAGGCAC
rnacentral:tRNA from 1 species